rnacentral:rRNA from 1 species
GAUGAACGCUGGCGGCGUGCCUAAUACAUGCAAGUCGAGCGAACAGACGAGGAGCUUGCUCCUAUUACGUUAGCGGCGGACGGGUGAGUAACACGUGGAUAACCUGCCUUUGAGACUGGGAUAACUUCGGGAAACCAGAGCUAAUACCGGAUAAUAUCUUGAACCGCAUGGUUCAAUAGUGAAAGACGGUUUUGCUGUACCUAAAGGUGGUAUCCGGGUCGAAUUGGUUAGUUGGUAAGGUAACGGCUUACCAAGGCAACGAUGCGUAGCCGACCUGAGAGGUUGAUCGGCCACACUGGAACUGAGACACGGUCCAGACUCCUACGGGAGGCAGCAGUGGGGAAUCUUCGACAAUGGGCGAAAUCCUGACGGAGCAACGCCGCGUGGGUGAUGAAGUUCUUCGGAUCUUAAAACUCUGUUAUUAGGGAGGAACAAAUGUGUAAGUAAAUCUGCACGUCUUGACGGUACCUAAUCAGAAAGCCACGGCUAACUACGUG